GAUGAAGAACGCAGUAAAAUGCGAUAAGUAAUGUGAAUUGCAGAAUUCAGUGAAUCAUCGAAUCUUUGAACGCACAUUGCGCCCGCUGGUAUUCCGGCGGGCAUGCCUGUUCGAGCGUCAUUUCAACCCUCAAGCCCCCGGGUUUGGUGUUGGGGAUCGGCUCUGCCCUUCUGGGCGGUGCCGCCCCCGAAAUACAUUGGCGGUCUCGCUGCAGCCUCCAUUGCGUAGUAGCUAACACCUCGCAACUGGAACGCGGCGCGGCCAUGCCGUAAAACCCCAACUUCUGAAUGUUGACCUCGGAUCAGGUAGGAAUACCCGCUGAACUUAAGCAUAUCAUAAGCGGAGGA
rnacentral:misc_RNA from 1 species